rnacentral:rRNA from 1 species
GAUGAACGCUGGCGGCGUGCCUAAUACAUGCAAGUCGAGCGAACAGACGAGGAGCUUGCUCCUCUGACGUUAGCCGCAGACGGGUGAGUAACACGUGGAUAACCUACCUAUAAGACUGGGAUAACUUCGGGAAACCGGAGCUAAUACCGGAUAAUAUAUUGAACCGCAUGGUUCAAUAGUGAAAGACGGUUUUGCUGUCACUUAUAGAUGGAUCCGCGCCGCAUUAGCUAGUUGGUAAGGUAACGGCUUACCAAGUCGACGAUGCGUAGCCGACCUGAGAGGGUGAUCGGCCACACUGGAACUGAGACACGGUCCAGACUCCUACGGGAGGCAGCAGUAGGGAAUCUUCCGCAAUGGGCGAAAGCCUGACGGAGCAACGCCGCGUGAGUGAUGAAGGUCUUCGGAUCGUAAAACUCUGUUAUUAGGGAAGAACAAAUGUGUAAGUAACUAUGCACGUCUUGACGGUACCUAAUCAGAAAGCCACGGCUAACUACGUG